rnacentral:tRNA from 1 species
AAAGGAUUAGUUUAAACAAAACAUUAGCUUGUCAAGCUAAAGAUAUUAAUUUAUUAUCCUUUA